CAUUCAGUUUUUAUUCACGAUUUGUAUAGUGUCCCAACUUUUUUGGAAUCCGGUUUAAAAAUAAUAUUAUUAAUACACCCACACCAUAGGAUAACAAUACAUCCAAUGACAUUAAGAAGGGCUAUAAUUAUAUCCUCUAUUCAUAAGAAAUAAAAGACAAUUAUAAAAAAAUCUAAACUUAAAUGUAAAAAAUAACAAUUUCAACAGUAUAUUAAUGCAUGUAAAAUAAUGUAUUGUAUCUUAAAAAUGUAACAAAUUAAACUAUAUAAUAUAUAUUACAUACACUGUGUGCACAAUAAUUAGGCAAGUGAGUAUACAUUGACCAUAUCAUAAUUUUCAUGCAUAUUUUCCAACUUCAAGCUAUAUAAACUUAAAUGCUUAUUGGAUUGAAGCAUGAUUUGUAUUUGUGUAAUGAAGGGGGGGGGGGGGGGGGACCUAAAGAGAUCAAGACCCUACAUCAAGG